rnacentral:rRNA from 1 species
AACGAACGCUGGCGGCAUGCCUAACACAUGCAAGUCGAACGAGACCUUCGGGUCUAGUGUCGCACGGGUGCGUAACGCGUGGGAACCUGCCCUUAGGUUCGGAAUAACUCCCCGAAAGGGGUGCUAAUACCGGAUAAUGUCUUCGUACCAAAGUUUUAUCGGCUUUGGAUGGGGCCGCGUUGAUUUAGCUAGUUGGUAGGGUAAAAGCCUACCAAGGCGACGAUCCAUAGCUGGACGGAGAGGAUGUACACUGAGACUGGGACUGAGACAAGGCCCAGACGCGAGGGGGCAGCAGCGAUGGGGACUAUAGGGCAGUGGGCGAAAGGCUGAUACAGCAAUGCCGCGUGGGUGAUGAAGGCCUUAGGGUUGUAAAGCAAUUUUGACAGGGAUGAUAAUGACAGUACCGGGAGAAUAAGCACCGGCUAACUCCGUG